rnacentral:rRNA from 1 species
GAUGAACGCUGGCGGCGUGCCUCAAACAUGCAAGUCGAGCGAGGCUAUGAGUUACCGCAAGGUAAGGCAUAGCCUAGCGGCGAACGGGUGAGUAACACGUGGGUAACCUACCUGGAAGACAGGGAUAACGAUUCGAAAGGGUCGCUAAUACCUGAUAAUAUCCAUCUGCCGGAUGGCGGAGGGAAGAAAGGGGAAACCCGCUUUCAGAUGGGCCCGCGUCCCAUCAGCUAGUUGGUAAGGUAAAGGCUUACCAAGGCGACGACGGGUAGCCGGUCUGAGAGGAUGUACGGCCACACUGGGACUGAGAUACGGCCCAGACUCCUACGGGAGGCAGCAGUUGGGAAUCUUAGGCAAUGGACGAAAGUCUGACCUAGCGACGCCGCGUGGGGGAAGAAGGCCUUCGGGUUGUAAACCUCUGUCAUGGGGGAAGAAGGAAGUGACGGUACCCAAGAGGAAGCCCCUGCUAACUACGUGCCAGCAGCCGCGGUAACUAUAGCGUACU